GUGAAUCAUCAAAUCUUUGAACGCAAAUUGCACUCCCUGGUAUUCCGGGGAGUAUGCCUGUUUGAGGAUCGUUAGAAUAAAAAAUCGAUUCGGCGCUCUUUUUUUUAAGGGUGAUCGCGUCGGAAUUGAGCCGUCUUUCAAAUUGUAAUUCAUGUCAAAAUGGCGUCAAAUUUAUCCAUCCUGUACGAUUGAAACGUAUUUAAUAGUAAUUUUCAUUAA
rnacentral:misc_RNA from 1 species